rnacentral:rRNA from 1 species
GACGUAGGGUGCGAGCGUUGUCCGGAGUUACUGGGCGUAAAGCGCGCGUAGGCGGCGGAGCGCGUCGCACGUGAAAGCCCCCGGCUCAACUGGGGAGGGUCACGCGAUACUGAUCGACUCGAAGGCAGGAGAGGGUAGUGGAAUUCCCGGUGUAGUGGUGAAAUGCGUAGAUAUCGGGAGGAACACCAGUGGCGAAGGCGACUACCUGGCCUGUUCUUGACGCUGAGGCGCGAAAGCUAGGGGAGCAAACGGG